AGAGUUUGAUCAUGGCUCAGGAUGAACGCUAGCGGCAGGCCUAAUACAUGCAAGUCGGACGGGAUUGUGGUGCUUGCACUACAUGAGAGUGGCGCACGGGUGCGUAACACGUAUGUAACCUACCCAUAUCAGGGGGGAUAGCCUCUCGAAAGAGAGAUUAAGCCCGCAUAACAUCAACUUAUGGCAUCAUAGGGUGAUCAAAUAUUUAUAGGAUAUGGAUGGGCAUGCGGAACAUUAGCUAGUUGGUAAGGUAACGGCUUACCAAGGCUACGAUGUUUAGGGGAUCUGAGAGGAUGACCCCCCACACUGGUACUGAGACACGGACCAGACUCCUACGGGAGGCAGCAGUAAGGAAUAUUGGUCAAUGGACGAAAGUCUGAACCAGCCAUGCCGCGUGCAGGAAGACGGCCCUACGGGUUGUAAACUGCUUUUGUACUGGAAUAAACCCCCGAUCGUGAUCGGGGUUGAAUGUACAGUAAGAAUAAGGAUCGGCUAACUCCGUGCCAGCAGCCGCGGUAAUACGGAGGAUCCGAGCGUUAUCCGGAUUUAUUGGGUUUAAAGGGUGCGUAGGCGGCUUUUUAAGUCAGGGGUGAAAGACGGUAGCUUAACUAUCGCAGUGCCUUUGAUACUGAAGAGCUUGAAUGUACUUGAGGUAGGCGGAAUGUGACAAGUAGCGGUGAAAUGCAUAGAUAUGUCACAGAACACCAAUUGCGAAGGCAGCUUACUAAAGUAUGAUUGACGCUGAGGCACGAAAGCGUGGGGAUCAAACAGGAUUAGAUACCCUAGUAGUCC
rnacentral:rRNA from 1 species